ensembl:lncRNA
CUUGCCUGCAGCUGCUGUGUAGAAAUGAAGCACUGCAUGGAGCAGCCUGGAAUUGGCAACUGCUGUUCACCUAAGAGGCCAAAAACACGUAAGCAGUCUACCAAUAGAUCAGGGCUAGAGAAUUCAAUUUCUAGAAAAUUUGUGUCGGAAGUCCUGUCAUGCAGACUCAUAUUCAUACCACCAGAAUUAGAUAAACGAGUUUCAUGACUGCUCUUCAGGAAAGCAUGAAAGGAUCUGUGUGCUCUGCUCAGUCUCAGACUUCUCCCAGAUAAACGUGCCUAUAGACCUUUCAAACAAAGCAGAAUCCUAAGGAACAGAAAUACAAAUUCCACUCAUGUUUCUUACACCUACAGAUAUGGGGAAAGCAUUCCCUGUUUUGAAGCUUCAACUAUUUUGCAAUUGAGACAUUUAUUUGUUACAAUAACUAAAUGGAAAUAUCUAGAUUGAAUUUUCAUUUAUCGCUUGCCCAGUAACUUGCCGAGUAUGAUGCAUCUGGUUCCAGACAGCCACACUGAGUUCACUUCAAUCUGCUGCACAGUUCCCUAUCAAUCCUGAGUUCAGCAGUUCUCUGUCCCAAACCAGUAGAAAUUUCAGUGUAGCAUUUUUUUCUCCAGUUAAUGAAUGGUUUGCAUGCCGUGAAGAUCCCACAGUCAGACAUCACUGUACACUAGCUGAUCAGCUCCUGCCUGGACUUGCCAUCACUGUCAUUUAAGGUUGUGUUAGCCCACGGAAGCAAGAGUACAUGUAUGCUGAAUAUAAGCAAAUGACAGAUUAUCUCUGUUAGAGUCCAUGGUGCUAAGGGACAGAGAAGCUCAGUCUCGAAGUUAAGUGUCAGAACAGAGAUAAGACAUUGAUCUUUUCUUCCUUGCUUUACAGAAUCAGAAGUAUGUAUGGAUAACGCCUGCUUUGUGGCACAGGAAAAUGGAACAGUAAAAAUAGACUUCUACGGUUGAAAGCUUUGCUGCAUGGAGGGAAAGGAAGAAAUGGAGGAAAGUAUUUAAAAAGCAUGGAAGAGACCCGUGUCUUCUUGAACAGGACUGCUGUCAAACAAACGAGGGCUCCAAAAUCA